rnacentral:rRNA from 1 species
GACGAACGCUGGCGGCGCGCCUAACACAUGCAAGUCGAACGGAGUUAUUUUCUUCACUCCGAGCUUUUUGCCGGUUAGCCGGAGCGGCAAUCGGUUUUGCCCAGUAUAAAAAGCAAAACCGAUUUAGGCUCAUAAAGUAAGGCUAACACAGAGGGCAGAGAGUUGGGAGUGAAGAAAAUAACUUAGUGGCGAACGGGUGAGUAACGCGUGAGUAACCUGCCCUGGAGUGGGGGACAACAGUUGGAAACGACUGCUAAUACCGCAUAAGCCCACGAUUCGGCAUCGGAUUGAGGGAAAAGGAUUUAUUCGCUUCAGGAUGGACUCGCGUCCAAUUAGCUAGUUGGUGAGGUAACGGCCCACCAAGGCGACGAUUGGUAGCCGGACUGAGAGGUUGAACGGCCACAUUGGGACUGAGACACGGCCCAGACUCCUACGGGAGGCAGCAGUGGGGGAUAUUGCACAAUGGGGGAAACCCUGAUGCAGCGACGCCGCGUGGAGGAAGAAGGUUUUCGGAUUGUAAACUCCUGUCGUUAGGGACGAUAAUGACGGUAC